UACGUAGGGUGCGAGCGUUAAUCGGAAUUAUUGGGCGUAAAGGGUGCGUAGGCGGUCUGAUAAGUCAUCUGUGAAAUCUAUGGGCUCAACCCAUAGUCUGCAGGCGAAACUGUCGGGCUUGAGUAUGGGAGAGGUGAGUGGAAUUUCCGGUGUAGCGGUGAAAUGCGUAGAUAUCGGAAGGAACACCUGUGGCAAAAGCGGCUCACUGGACCAUUACUGACGCUGAUGCACGAAAGCUAGGGGAGCAAACAGG
rnacentral:rRNA from 1 species